rnacentral:rRNA from 1 species
GACAGAGGUGCCGAGCGUUAGGCGGAAUCACUGGGCUUAAAGCGCGUGUAGGCGGCCCUGCAAGUCGGGUGUGAAAUCCCACGGCUCAACCGUGGAAGUGCACUCGAAACUGCAGGGCUAGAGUCCUGGAGAGGAAGGUGGAAUGCUUGGUGUAGAGGUGAAAUUCGUAGAUAUCAAGCGGAACACCGGUGGCGAAGGCGGCCUUCUGGACAGUGACUGACGCUGAGACGGCGAAAGCGUGGGGAGCAAACAGG